rnacentral:rRNA from 1 species
AUUGAACGCUGGCGGCAUGCUUUACACAUGCAAGUCGAACGGCAACAGGGUGCUUGCACCGCUGACGAGUGGCGAACGGGUGAGUAAUGCGUCGGAACGUGCCGAGUAGUGGGGGAUAACGCAGCGAAAGUUGUGCUAAUACCGCAUACGUACUGAGGUGGAAAGUGGGGGACCUUCGGGCCUCACGCUAUUCGAGCGGCCGACGUCUGAUUAGCUAGUAGGUGAGGUAAAGGCUCACCUAGGCGACGAUCAGUAGCGGGUCUGGGAGGAUGAUCCGCCACACUGGGACUGAGACACGGCCCAGACUCCUACGGGAGGCAGCAGUGGGGAAUUUUGGACAAUGGGCGAAAGCCUGAUCCAGCCAUGCCGCGUGUCUGAAGAAGGCCUUCGGGUUGUAAAGGACUUUUGUCAGGGAGGAAAUCCCUAGUGCUAAUAACACUGGGGGAUGACAGUACCUGAAGAAUAAGCACCGGCUAACUACGUGCCAGCAGCCGCAGUAA